ACCUGCGGAAGGAUCAUUACUGAGUGAGGGCCCUCUGGGUCCAACCUCCCACCCGUGUUUAUUAUACCUUGUUGCUUCGGUGCGCCCGCCUCACGGCCGCCGGGGGGCUUCUGCCCCCGGGUCCGCGCGCACCGGAGACACUAUUGAACUCUGUCUGAAGAUUGCAGUCUGAGCAUAAACUAAAUAAGUUAAAACUUUCAACAACGGAUCUCUUGGUUCCGGCAUCGAUGAAGAACGCAGCGAAAUGCGAUAACUAAUGUGAAUUGCAGAAUUCAGUGAAUCAUCGAGUCUUUGAACGCACAUUGCGCCCCCUGGUAUUCCGGGGGGCAUGCCUGUCCGAGCGUCAUUGCUGCCCUCAAGCACGGCUUGUGUGUUGGGCUCCGUCCCCCCGGGGACGGGUCCGAAAGGCAGCGGCGGCACCGAGUCCGGUCCUCGAGCGUAUGGGGCUUUGUCACCCGCUCUGUAGGCCCGGCCGGCGCCAGCCGACAACCAAUCAUCCUUUUUUCAGGUUGACCUCGGAUCAGGUAGGGAUACCCGCUGAACUUAAGCAUAUCAAUAAGGCCGGGAGGA
rnacentral:rRNA from 1 species